UUUUACACUAUAAUAAUCUACAAUGAUUAAAUUAACUUUCUAAUUUAGACAAAACUUGCAAUCAACUAAUCUGUCUAAUGACUAAUAACUAUAUUAUUAUUACAUAAUAUUAUAUAUUAUAUUCUUAUUUUUACACUAUAAUAAUCUAUAAUGAUUAAAUUAACUUUCUAAUUUAGACAAAACUUGCAAUCAACUAAUCUGUCUAACGACUAAUAACUAACGAGUUUUUUGUUCGUGUGUCUUGCCCUGACUCGAAAAUAUAUUUAUUUAUGUAAGAAAAGAUCUAUCUUUAAAAAGUUUUCACAUCUUCAAGUACGAAUUGUCAUUGUUUAUAGAUUUUUCACUGUCAUUGUAUAUGACAGACUGUUUGAAGUUCCCAGACUGAUUGAACGCGAAUCACUUUAUUUUGUAUAUUUUAGGAAACUUUUUUCUGAUAUGUGACUUAAAGACUUAAAGAUAAAGUGACUUAAAGAAUAUUUAUGAAAAAGGAAUUUUUUCGCUUUUGAGAGAUAAAUACUACUAUACGAAGCACCAACGAACUGUUCGAUGAGACAUCGAUAUCCGCCACCUCUGGGAAUGAACAUCAAUGAGAUAAGGAAAUAUUAAUCAAAAAUUUUCCGGAGGUGUCAAUAGAAAAUCACCGUGAAGGUUUUAGUCAGUAAAAGAGUGUCCUAUGAGGAUUUUCUUCUAGUUAAAAAAAAAAAAAAAAAAUUUAUAUUGUUUUCAUUUGAUUUAUCGCCUAUUUCUUACUAUUCUCUUACUAUUUUUAAUAAAAAGUAUUUGUAUCUUUCUUUUUUUUAUCGCAAAUCAUAAUUGUAAAAAUGUUAUAUGUAUUAAACAAUUGAUUAAAAAGAAAAUUUAUAUAUAUAUAUA